rnacentral:rRNA from 1 species
GACGAACGCUGGCGGCGUGCUUAACACAUGCAAGUCGAACGGUGAAGCUCCAGCUUGCUGGAGUGGAUCAGUGGCGAACGGGUGAGUAACACGUGAGCAACCUGCCCCUGACUCUGGAAUAAGCGCUGGAAACGGCGUCUAAUACUGGAUACGAGAAGGGUCCGCAUGGGCACUUUCUGGAAAGUUUUUCGGUUGGGGAUGGGCUCGCGGCCUAUCAGCUUGUUGGUGAGGUAAUGGCUCACCAAGGCGACGACGGGUAGCCGGCCUGAGAGGGCGACCGGCCACACUGGGACUUAGACACGGCCCAGACUCCUACGGGAGGCAGCAGUGGGGAAUAUUGCACAAUGGGCGAAAGCCUGAUGCAGCGACGCCGCGUGAGGGAUGACGGCCUUCGGGUUGUAAACCUCUUUCAGCAGGGAAGAAGCGAAAGUGACGGUACCUGCAGAAGAAGCACCGGCUAACUACGUG